UAAUACGGAGGGUGCAAGCGUUAUCCGGAUUCACUGGGUUUAAAGGGUGCGUAGGUGGGCUAGUAAGUCCGUGGUGAAAUCCCCGAGCUUAACUCGGGAACUGCCGUGGAUACUAUUAGUCUUGAAUAUCGUGGAGGUAAGCGGAAUAUGUCAUGUAGCGGUGAAAUGCUUAGAUAUGACAUAGAACACCGAUAGCGGAGGCAGCUUACUACGCGAUUAUUGACACUGAGGCACGAAAGCGUGGGGAUCAAACA
rnacentral:rRNA from 1 species